AGUUGAUCUGAGGGUUAUGGGUUAUUGUUAAACUGGUUAGCAUCGUGUCCCACCCAUAACCAUUCUUAACUAGCUUUAC
ensembl:misc_RNA Y_RNA Y RNA